rnacentral:rRNA from 1 species
AAGCCGGUGGAGUAAACUUAUAGGAGAUACACGUAGAAGGUGGGACAAAUGAUUGGGGUGAAGUCGUAACAAGGUAGCCGUAUCGGAAGGUGCGGCUGGAUCACCUCCUUUCUAAGGAGA